rnacentral:rRNA from 1 species
CGGGACGGGUGAGUAACGCGUGGAUAACCUGCCGUAUACUGGGGGAUAACACUUAGAAAUAGGUGCUAAUACCGCAUAAGCGCACAGUCUCGCAUGAGACGGUGUGAAAAACUCCGGUGGUAUACGAUGGAUCCGCGUCUGAUUAGCUUGUUGGCGGGGUAACAGCCCACCAAGGCGACGAUCAGUAGCCGGCCUGAGAGGGUGAACGGCCACAUUGGGACUGAGACACGGCCCAGACUCCUACGGAAGGCAGCAG